rnacentral:lncRNA from 1 species
AGCACGGAGGAGGGAUACAUGAAAUACCGGGUGUACUCGCGAGGUGGUUGGUAAACAGAGUUCGUAGGCCACAGCGCCGAUGCGGUGGCGCACUUGAUUAAGCCCCGAGUAACGAGGGGCGAGCUUCGAACAUGUACGAAGCUCCACCGAUUGUUGGCGGUGAGGUUGAAGACGUACCCAUACCCAGUCAUCGGGGUUAAAAGAGCGUUCAGAUCAGUGGCGGUUGGCCUGGUCGCACAUUCGUUGACAGGCCUGAUGAAGGUUUUGUUUGAGGGCGUGGAGAACCAACGUGUGUUGGUGCAAUAAAUCAACAACGGUGGUGCCUGAGCGUGGACUGUGCAACAGAUCUAGGGCGGUGGGAGGUUGUCUUCCGUACAGAGCAUGGAACGGUGAGGUUCCAAUGGCAGAGUGAUAAGUCGUAUUGUGACAAAGUUACGCUAGAUGAAGAUAUUGGAACCAAGUGUGAGGAUGUUCGCCUGCAAAGCAUCGUAGGUAAUCUUCCAAACUUCGAUUAAGAGCUUCUGUCUGUCCAUCAGUUUGCGGAUGAUAAGCAGAACUGAACUUUAAUGUUGUGCCUUGUGCCUUGAAUAGGUGUUUCCAGAACGUGCUGAUAAAUAGUGGAUCUCGGUCUGAGACAAUGGUUUUUGGCAGCCCAUGCAGACGACAAAUCUCAACCGAGAAUCGCUUGGCAAGUUGUUGAGCAUUGAACUGUUUGGGAAGUGCCACAAAGUGAGCAUACUUCGUGAGGCGAUCACAUAUGGCCCAUAUCACCGAGUGACCUAUAGAGGCGGGUAAGUGUGUUAUAAAAUCCAUUGAUAAAUCUUUCCACACUUGAUCUGGUAAUGGGAAGGGUUGGAGUAAUCCAUGGGGUUUUGUUGGCAAAUACUUGUUACGCUGACAUGUGGUGCAUUGUUGAAUGUAGUUCUUGACAUCUCUAGUCCACCCCGGCCAGUAGAAGGCAACAGCAAUGCGAGCAAGGGUGGGUUUAAUACCGGAAUGACCCGCUGUGGGCGAUUCAUGUAGUUCUAGGAGGAUGCGGUUUCUGAAAUUGUUGGUAUCUAGAAUAAACACUUGGUGCCGAAAGAAGAGCAGACCAUGACGGACUGAGAAGAUGUUGGGUCCUUGUGUAUCUUUAGUGCAAGCGUCUACUAAUCUUGUUCCUUCUAUGGUGGAAUAAAAUUGCUGUAACUCUUCAAACAACAAUGGUAUUGGCGACGAGAGUGCAAGCAACAUUGAAGGUGGAUCUGUGUCUUGGCGUGAGAGAGCAUCUACAACCACAUUUUGCUUGCCAGGUCGGUAUAGAAUUUGGAAAUCAUAUCCCUGUAACUUUGAUGUCCAUCUUUGUUGUUCUGGAGUUUGUAUUGUUUGUGACUGAAGUGUAUUUAAACUUUUUUGAUCUGUGAUUAUUUUGAAGUGUUGCCCCAACAAGUACUGACGCCAUUUUUUUACUGCUUCUGUGAUUGCAUACAUUUCUCGGACAUACACUGAUGAAGCUUGGAGCCUUGGACACAUUUUCUUGCUGAAGAAGGCUAGUGGGUUCCCCUUUUGGCUGACCUCCACGACUACUGCAGAUGCGUCUAUUUCCACAACAAAAGGCAAGGAAAAAUAUGGUAGGUGUAGUGUAGGAACUUGAGAUAUUUGUAAUUUUAAUUUUGUAAAGGCCUCCUGAGCUGAGACACUCCAUGUAAACUUUUGAUUAUGCAACAAAUCGGUGAGAGGAGCGGCGAGAGUGGCGUAGUGAUAAACAAACUUCCUAUAAAAUCCUGUGAGGCUGAGAAAACCACGUAAUUCCGUGAGUGAACGUGGUUGCGGCCAAUUGUGUAUGGCAAUCACCUUUUCUGGAUCAGGGGCUACUCCUUUAGCUGAAAUGAUAUGGCCCAAAUAAUUUACUUGAGAAGUGGCAAAACUGCACUUAGAUAACUUAGCAAAAAAUUUCUUAGUAUGCAAAACUUCUAAGAUAAUCUUUAAGUGCACAAUAUGUUCCUGCAAAUUGGGACUAUAAAUCAAAAUAUCAUUAAAGAAAACAAUGACAAACCGCCGUAAAUAAGGUCUGAGAAGGUCAUUCAUGGCUGCCUGAAAAGUGGAGGGUGCAUUAGUCAAUCCGAAAGGCAUGACUAAAAAUUCGUAAUGUCCAUCAAUGGUUCUAAAAGCUGAUUUAUGAGUGUCUUGAGGAAUAAGUCGAAUUUGAUGAUACCCAGAGUAUAAAUCAAUCUUAGUGAAAACUGUAGUUGAGCCUAGUUCAUCGAGCAAUUCAUCGAUGGUAGGGAUGGGAAAGCGGUCAUGGAUGGUGGCUGCAUUUAAGGCUCUGUAGUCCACACAAAAGCGCCAACUACCAUCUUUUUUUUAUGAGGAGGACGGGGGAAGAACGGGCUUGUGCUGGGUUUAAUGAUACCCUCUUGAAGCAUCUCAGAGAUGAGUUGGGUUAUAAUUUCCUUGUGGGAGUAGGGAUAACGAUAUGGUUUAACAUUAAUGG